AAGGGAAUCUUCGGCAAUGGACGAAAGUCUGACCGAGCAACGCCGCGUGAGUGAAGAAGGUUUUCGGAUCGUAAAACUCUGUUGUUAGAGAAGAACAAGGACGUUAGUAACUGAACGUCCCCUGACGGUAUCUAACCAGAAAGCGACGGCUAACUACGUGCCAGCAGCCGCGGUAAUACGUAGGUGGCAAGCGUUGUCCGGAUGUAUUGGGCGUAAAGCGAGCGCAGGCGGUUUCUUAAGUCUGAUGUGAAAGCCCCCGGCUCAACCGGGGAGGGUCAUUGGCAACUGGGAGACUUGAUUGCAGAAGAGGGGAGUGGAAUUCCAGGUGUAGCGAUGAAUUGCUUAGCUAUAUUGAGCAACACCAGUGGCGAUGGCUGUUCUCUGGUCUGUAACUGACGCUGAGUCUCGACAGCGUGGGUAGCAAACAUG
rnacentral:rRNA from 1 species